GACGAACGCUGGCGGCGUGCUUAACACAUGCAAGUCGAACGGAAAGGCCUUGUUUCCGUGGGGGACUGGGGUGGCGAAAGGGUGAAAAAGGCGUGAGAAACGUGCCCUAGACUCUGGGAUAAUGGCAAGAAACCGGGGCAAAUGCCGGUAAGGAGCGCCUGCUGCACGGGGGGGGUCGGAAAGUUUUGGCGGUUGGGGUUGGGCUCGCGGAUUAGCAGGCUGUCGUUGGGGUGGUGGCUUACCAAGGCGUCGACGGGUAGGCGGCCUGCAAGUGUGACCGGCGACACUGGGCCUGAGAUUCCGCCAGGACGCCUACGGGAGGAAGCAGCGGUGAAUAUUGGCCAAAGGGCGGAAGCCUGAGGCAGCAACGCCGCCUGCCGGAUUGCAACCUUCGUGUUGUAAACCGCUUUCGCCUGUGUCGAAGCGUUAGUGACGGUAGUGGGUGAAGAAGCACCGGCUAACUACGUG
rnacentral:rRNA from 1 species